AAAUGUCUUAUAGUGAUUCCGAUACUACGGUCCGCUGAGCUACGAGUGGCCUUUGAGUUUCAUUCACUUAGUGCGAGGAUGAAGUCGGAUCACAAAAAAUAUUGAAAUAAAAUUAAUGAAUGUACAUAAGCAAGUUGUACACGAGUUGUUAGACGCUUGUGGAAUAAACGUUCUUUUGACUUCGACUCCCGGCUUGCGGACAGAGAUUCGAACUCCGAAUAUCCCGUCCAAAAUACGAAGUAGUAGCGCUAACUGCAAAAUGAGAAGGAACUGCAUCGAACUCUGACCCCGAGACAUCCCACGCUGAACGCGGGAAUUCAAAAAUAAUUUUCAAAUAACAUCGAAUGAACUUCAUUUAGAAUUAAUGUGAAGUAAAUUUCAAUAUCUGACCUAAAUGAAUUAAAUAUGUAUCAGGUAUCAAGCCACUUUGACCUCAACACUGCCUCUACAGUAAAUCUUAGAAUAUUAAGUGAGAGUAACUGCUU